rnacentral:rRNA from 1 species
CGUAGGGUGCAAGCGUUAAUCGGAAUUACUGGGCGUAAAGCGUGCGCAGGCGGUUUUGUAAGACUGUCGUGAAAUCCCCGGGCUCAACCUGGGAAUGGCGAUGGUGACUGCAAGGCUAGAGUUUGGCAGAGGGGGGUAGAAUUCCACGUGUAGCAGUGAAAUGCGUAGAUAUGUGGAGGAACACCGAUGGCGAAGGCAGCCCCCUGGGUCAAAACUGACGCUCAUGCACGAAAGCGUGGGGAGCAAACAGGAUUAGAUACCCUGGUAGUCCACGCCCUAAACGAUGUCUACUAGUUGUCGGGUUUUAAUUAACUUGGUAACGCAGCUAACGCGUGAAGUAGACCGCCUGGGGAGUACGGUCGCAAGAUUA